AUAGCCGGCCUAGCUCAAUUGGUAGAGCAACUGACUUUUAAUCAGAGGGUCAGAGGUUCGAAUCCUCUAUGGCU
rnacentral:tRNA from 1 species